rnacentral:rRNA from 1 species
AGUGAACGCUGGCGGUAGGCCUAACACAUGCGAGUCGAACGGCAGCACAGUAAGAGCUUGCUCUUACGGGUGGCGAGUGGCGGACGGGUGAGGAAUACAUCGGAAUCUACUUUUUCGUGGGGGAUAACGUAGGGAAACUUACGCUAAUACCGCAUACGACCUACGGGUGAAAGCAGGGGAUCUUCGGACCUUGCGCGAUUGAAUGAGCCGAUGUCGGAUUAGCUAGUUGGCGGGGUAAAGGCCCACCAAGGCGACGAUCCGUAGCUGGUCUGAGAGGAUGAUCAGCCACACUGGAACUGAGACACGGUCCAGACUCCUACGGGAGGCAGCAGUGGGGAAUAUUGGACAAUGGGCGCAAGCCUGAUCCAGCCAUACCGCGUGGGUGAAGAAGGCCUUCGGGUUGUAAAGCCCUUUUGUUGGGAAAGAAAAGCAGCAGGUUGAUACCCCGCUGUUCUGACGGUACCCAAAGAAUAAGCACCGGCUAACUUCGUG